CAACGAGGGCAGGAGCUCUGGGCGAGGGGUGUGUGGGUGUGGGUGUGGGUGUGGGUGGGUGUGGGUGUGGGUGUGUUUGUUUGUGUGUGUGUGUGGCUUUUCAGAGGGCGCAGUUUUUCUCCGAGUUGAACUACUCUCCGACUGACUGCCCCGAGGGGCUGAGGAUGCUGCCCCAGUCGGUGGCGAGGUUCGGCGCAACAGCUCGCUUGUAGCCAGAGUCUGGCGCUGGACGCGCGCCGUGACUGUGCAACUGUCUUCACGAGAAUCACGUGUGCCCGCUAGGAUUACCCUUCCUGUGUGUGUGCCCUGACCAGCCCGACACUGCCUCAGCCUGGAAGACUUUCAGGUCAGGUUCUGCUUCUCGACCGGUGUGUGCUGUGCCUGAAUUUGUGCAUCAGGCCAGCUAAAAAGAAGACGGCCAAAAGUGGAAGACUCGUGCAUUCCCAUUUCAAACAUUAUUUCAAAACUCCAGUAAUGAAUACAAUGUAGUACUGAUUUAAGGAUACACUCAGAGAUAAACAGAAUGGAAUUGAGAGUCUGGAAAUAACCCGUCUGUCUAUGGUGAGUUAAUUGUUGACAACAGUGCCAAGACAAUUAAAUAGGGAAGGAGCAGUCAUUUUAGUAAAUGGUGCUGGGACAACUGGAUAGUCAGCAUUUAAAAGAAUCAGUUUGAAUCCAAACCUCGUACCACAGAUAAAAAUUAAGUCAAAAUGGAUCCAAGUCCAUAUGUAAGAACUAACACUAUAAAACUUCUUCUGUAAGAGCGUGUAGGAGUAAAUCUUUGUGACAUUGGGUUAGGUGAUGGAUUCUUAGCUAGGACAUCAAAAGCACAGAUAAUAAAUGAAAAGUUAGGUAAAAAUGGCUUCAUCAAAAUGAGAAAAAGUUUUUGCUUUAAAGGACACCAUAAGAAAGUGAAAAAACCAAAAGAAUGGGAAAAAGUAUUUGUAUAUCUGAUAAGGGCCCAGUAGUCAGAAUGUAAAAAGAACUCUUGCAAGCUAAGAGUAAAAAGACAACCCAAUUAAUAAUGGGAUAAGGGAGGCACCUGGGGGCUCAGUCAGUGAAGUGACCAACUCUUGAUUCUGGCUUAGGUCAUGAUCUCACGGUUCAUGAGAGUAAGCCCCAAAUCAGUCUCUGGGCCAACAGCAUGGAGCCUGCUUGGGAUUCUCUUUCUCGACCCCUCCCCCUGUUUGAGCAUGUGCGUGUGCGCGCUCUCUCUCUCUCUCUCUCUCUCUCUCUCUCUCUCUGUCUCUCUCAAUUAAAAAAAUGGGCUAAGCAUUUGAAUAGACAUUUCUAUUAAAAAAGAUCUGCAGAUGCCAAAUAAGCACAUGAAAAGAUGCUCAAAAAUAUUAGUCGUUAGGAAAACAAAAAUUGAAAGCACUAUGAAUUACAACUUUCCACCCUGUAAUAUGGAUAUAAUUUAAAAAGUGAAAAUAACAAGUGUUGGGGAAGGUGUGGAAUAAUUGAAAUCCUCAUACAUUGCUGGUGAGAAUUCAAAAUGGCACAGCUGCUGUGGAAAACAGUUUGGCAGCUCCUCAAAAAGUUAAACAGAGCUGCUGUAUGACACAGUUAUGCCAUCGUAGGUAUAUAUAUCCAAGACAAAUAAAGAAUAAGCCCCCACAAAAACUUGUAUACGAAUGUUCCUAGCAGCAUUAAUCACAACAAAGUGCCAACAACCCAGUGCCAACCAAAUAAUGAAUAUAUCACCUGUGGUGAUGUAUCCAUAUAGUAGAAUAUUAUCCAGCCAUAAAAAGAAUGGAGUAGUGAUACUUGCUGCAACAUGGACGAAAACUGAACACGUUCUGCUAAGUGAAAGAAGCCAGACUCAAAGGCCACAUAAUGUAGGAUCCUAUUUAGUGGAUAUGUCCAGAAUGGACAAAUCUGUAGAGACAUAAAGCUGCUAGUAAAUGUCCAGGGCUCCUGGGAGGGGGGAUUGGGCAGGGACUGCUAAUGGCAUAGGGUUUCUUCUGGAAUUAGAUGUUGGUGAUGGUUGGCACAACCAUAUGUACAUAGUAAAAGCCAACAAAAAAGGGUGAAUUUUAUGGAAUGUGACUUACAGCUUAACAAAAUGAAAAAAAAUUGUAAAGGAAAGCAUUUGCUUUUGAAUAUGAUUUGGCCAUUUUAGAAGUACAGUUGCCUACCCCAAAAGAUGUAAUAUGCUGUCCAGGUCUUGCCUUCACCAGUUUGAUCAUCAGAGGUGACCACUGUAGUCUGAUAGGUGUUUCCGUCUUGUCCCUGUUAUCAGUAUUUACAAAUUGCACCUGCACAUACAUAUACACUUACAGACACUGGUUGAGUUAGGAUUACCACUGAUCUGCUACUCCCCAUUUGAAAAAAUAAUAAUAAUAAUAAAAUAAAAAUCUCUGGUCAGUACAAAUUUGCUCCUCUUAUUCUGUUUCAAGGCCAGUGGGUGCUCCAUUGUAGGAUAGGAACACUUCAUCUUUCAUUUACCCUCCCAAAGGUCAUUGACUACCAAUGGCCAUUUAGAGCCCACCCCCACUCCCCGAAAUUUGCUAUUCUCAUUGUACACAUACUUCUGUGGCUGUGUAAAUAUUUCUUUAAGACAAGUUAAUAGCAAUGGCAAUUGCUGGAUCAAGGAAACCUUUUGCUAAGGAAACAUCUCUGAAGUACCUUCCUGUGUGCCUGAUACCACUGUAUGUGCUGGGGAGACAUUAGAGAAGACCCACAUAUGUUCCUCUUUUCAUGAAGCUGAAAUUCUACUGAGGGUAGGGACACAGUAGAAUCAAAUUUUGAUAGACGCCGUCAGAGAGCCCUGCAAAGUUCUUUUACCAAGUCACACUACCCUCGGUGUGACUGGAGUAACAAAUGCCCCUUUGCUGGCACCCUAAGCACCCCAUUCAUGACGUGGGAGAUGUAGACAGGAGGCUGGACACUUUAUCUCAGGCUCUCUGCAAGAUCUUGGCAUAUGCAAGUGGAAUGAUCCCUGUGGGGAGUUUAAGAGUAGUGAGACUAUGAUGGAAGGAUGCAGCGCCCAUUAGUUUUAUUCCUGGGGAGGAGUGGAGCUGGAGGUGAUGUGACCCCAUCUGGGCAAAUUACCAGGGUGUGGGGUGGCAGGAAAGGGUGAAAGGUUGCUAGAGGAGCAGCAGGUUGUACUUUCCUGUAAUAGGAUGUACCACUGAAGUCCCAGAUGAAGCAGUCUCCUCUGGGAGGUACAGCUGGAGUGAGGGAGUCUUGUGUUCCCAAAGAAACCAUUGCAGGCAGGGUGCAGGGGAGCUCACCACCAUGCAAGGACCUCCACCUCUCCGGAGGUCACCAUCGUCCCACUUCUGGCCCCAGCCCGUCAGCUGUACAGAUUCUAACCAAGUAGGGACCAGGGAACAUGGAAGAGGAGCACAUGAAUGGUUUCCUCAUGGGUGAGCAGAGCAGAGAUUAAGGACCACAGUAGACUGGUUAGUCUAGAUGGGAUUGCCUGCCAGGAUCUUCCAAGGAAAAGAAUCCCAUUGGCUGGAGGUGGGGUGUCCUUCUCAGAGAGUUUAUGGGUGCACAGGUGGGGCUUUGAAGAGUGGAGGUGGAAGUGGAGGGUUUGGAAUCAUGCCGUGGAACCUCAGGCUGCUCACCAGCAAAAGAGGCUGAAGAUGCUACCCAGGUCAGUGGGAUCACUGGCUUCUCUUAGUCUGUCCUUUAGUCAGUCUUCCUGCAACUUUUUUUUUAACAGUGCUUCCAGGAUCCCACUAUAGUGAAAUGAGCCCAAUAACAAAUCACUAAAUCUUUCUCCAGUGUCCUGUUAUGUGUUCACCAGACUAUAAGUCUUGGAUGGGCAGAGAUAUUUCAAAGAGGGGCUCAUGACCUACUCCAAGCCAGUUUCUCGAGGGAAACAAGGUGCCCUACUCAACCCAGAGAAGUGAACACUUAGAGGAUAGGAUUUUAAGCAUGAGACAGGAGAGAUGUUUGAGUGAGGGCAGGCAAGUAAGAGAUAGGUGGGUUCUCAUGUCCGUGAACUUCUCCCCAGUCGUUCCUUAAGCCCUGACUGUAUUCACACCUGUGCCUGAAAGGCUGCAGAUGCAAGACUGUGUUCCUGGGGGAGGGAAAUUCACAAUGGCAUGAGAGAUGGGCCAGUGUGUGUGUCCCCUGAGGAGGACAAGGUGCACGCACCAGGCAGGCCCAAGUCAGCCUCGCCGUGGAUUCUGCCACGUGAGCAAAUAGGCCUGCUCUGGUGUUGGCUUCAUGGUGGGAGAUCGGGGGGUGGGGGUGGGGGGAACGUAUGCGCCUCACAGUUUGCACAAAGCCCCACAGGAACUGUGGACACCCUCAUGCCACCUUCCCCUUUAAAGCAGAAUUAGGCAUUGAGAGAAGGGGACAGGUUUCCUUUGGGUGGAUGGGGAGAUGAUAAGGUAGAGAAGUGGGUGGAACAGGGGCACCCUCAGUGGUCAGGUAAGUGGUCUGUGGCAGGUCAUCCUGGCACGGCAGUGUGAACCCCUUCACCAUCUCCUUCCCCCACUGGUGUUCACUGGCUUGCAACAGACCUGCUGACUGAAGGUGUCCUUGUGUUUGGGGCUCACAUGGACACUGGGAAAAUUGGGUGGCUGCAGUGCCUCCAAGGGUUAGGAGCUGAGAAGGCUGAAGCGAGCAGUGUGUUCAGGGUGAAUGGGAUGAGGGCCAGGCCUUCCACAAGACUGAGAGGGCGUGGAUCUACCCUGAGCAGCAUGGGACUGUCCUGUUCUGCCUUCCCCACAGGUUCCGAUCCCCACAAUGGGGCAAUGGCUCCUCAGCAGGAGGGCUCUGGGGCCUUAAGGACAGUGGGAGUCUCCUGAAGAUGGCAUGAACCCUUCCAACCUAGAAGGUCUCCCCAUUUUGAUGGGUGGAGGGCUCUACUGUCUGUCAGACGUGUGAGCGGGGGCUUCCCUCCUAGUUGUGGCCUGGGACCAGUGCAGCUGAGUCAUUGUCCAGAAACAGCCAAUGAUGGCAAAACCUGGGGUCAUUUAUCCCUGGGAAAAGAGGUUCCUCACGUGCCUGGAUGGGUGCACUGGGAUGGGGGCUAAUACUGUGGAGACAGCGGUUUCCCAGAAAGGCUGUCUGUAAUUCUGUAUUUCAGUCUCUCUGUGCUAUUCACUCAUGGGGCUGGGUGAGACCUCAUUGUGUCUCUAAUUGACAUGUGUCCUGUAUGGAGUGACUUUUUGUGUUCAAAAACAAGAUGUCGUUUUACGAGCCAUUUUGGGGUCCAGGAUUUGAGAUGUAUGAGCUGUGAGAGGGUCUGUGUCCAGUAUGGGAGAUCACUGAGCUGUGGAGGGUUGUGUGUCCAAGUGAGAGUUGUCUGGGCCAUUAGGGGUCUCUCCUGGUGAGUGAGGUAUGUGAUCUGUUUUAGGUGCAGCGUGCAGAAUGUAAGUUGUCUGGGGCUGUUCCCAUUAUGUAUUUCAGGAAUUAGGGUUUGAGCUCUCCUGAGGGUCUCUGUUGAGGUUGGCAUAUUUGAGCUCCUGGGGGCCCAUAUUCUAGGUUGUGAGAUUGCAAAGGUUAUUUGUCAUGGGACAGGAGGUAUCUGAGCAAGCUUGUGUUCACGGUACAGGUGUUUUGUGCUGUUUGUGUGUCUACAUGCAAGGUUGUCAGCUCUGUGAUUGUAUGGCAUCUGUGUGCAAGGUGUAAGGUCUAUGAGCUAUUAAGUUUCUAUGUUGCAGGUUGUCAGGUUGCUAAAAUGCAUGUGGAUCUGUAUUAUAGAAUUUAUCGCCUCUGAGCUGUUUUGUGUCUCUCCUCAUAUCUCGAGUUCCAUAGGAGUUUGAAUUCUGUGGGUGGUUUGAUAUUGUGUGUCCAAUGCAUUGAGGUUUCCUAGCUGCCUUCUCUUGGGUCUGUAUCUCAUCCACUCCAGCUUCGAACAACCUGGCUUCUUAGUCUAGGCCAUUGAGUCAAUGUGGUUGGCUUCCCUCAGUGUGUCAAUGGGAUAUUUUGGGUUUUGAGAGCCAUAGUGGGAGGCCCAUGAAGUAUCUGGGAGUCUGUGUCUAGGGUAUGAUGCUUCAGAGAUCCGGGUCCCAGGGUGAGGAAACUCGCCUCUGUCUUCAGUGCUUUCUUCCAGGGAUUGACACUUCUGAGCCACAUAAGUGUUUAUACCCUGAUUAGAGAGCCUUUGUCACACACUGAAGUUCAUACUUGAGGUAUUUGUGGCCUCUUCCUGAUGUUUCAGUCUGACAACUGUCCAGAAAGACGGAAUUUGAUCUGAGUUGACUGACUGAACUCGUCUGUUCCAGCUCCUAACAGCCUGUCUUCCUUGUCUAGACCAUUGACUCUGUGUGGUUAGCUUCCCUGAGACCCUUCCCUAGGGUUGGGUUCUGCCAAUCUCGAGCUUUAGCUUACCUAUUUCAUACAAUCUCAAGUACAGUUUUAAAUGUAGUCCAUAUUCAACUAAAAACAGUAGAACCAGUGCUUCCCUAAAAAAAACUAUUCACAAAACAUUUUGCUGAAUCCCAGGAGGUUCCAGGUAAGACACUCCAAUAGGAAGUUGUUCACAAUCUGCUCCUUACAAUAUGGAAUUUUAAAAAAUCUUUUCUCUCUGUUACUGGUACCUUGAGAGGCUCGGGCAAGACAGGCCAUUCACUUUUAGGUUUUUGACAAAACACCCUAACACUCACACGCGUGUGCACGUAGACACACACACACACACACACACACACACACACACGACCCACCCAAUACAUACA